rnacentral:sRNA from 1 species
CCCCGCUGCCCUCGAUGGGCGUUUCCUCCCUAGACUUCGGGCCGCUCCUCGUGGGCGGCCUCUUUUUUGGGCCGUC